GAUGAACGCUGGCGGCGUGCCUAAUACAUGCAAGUCGAGCGAACGGACGAGUAGCUUGCUUCUCUGAUGUUAGCGGCGGACGGGUGAGUAACACGUGGAUAACCUACCUAUAAGACUGGGAUAACUUCGGGAAACCGGAGCUAAUACCGGAUGAUAUUUUGAACCGCAUGGUUCAAAAGUGAAAGACGGUCUUGCUGUCACUUAUAGAUGGAUCCGCGCUGCAUUAGCUAGUUGGUAAGGUAACGGCUUACCAAGGCAACGAUGCAUAGCCGACCUGAGAGGGUGAUCGGCCACACUGGAACUGAGACACGGUCCAGACUCCUACGGGAGGCAGCAGUAGGGAAUCUUCCGCAAUGGGCGAAAGCCUGACGGAGCAACGCCGCGUGAGUGAUGAAGGUCUUCGGAUCGUAAAACUCUGUUAUUAGGGAAGAACAUAUGUGUAAGUAACUGUGCACAUCUUGACGGUACCUGAUCAGAAAGCAACGGCUAACUACGUG
rnacentral:rRNA from 1 species